rnacentral:rRNA from 1 species
GACGAACCGUGCGAACGUUAUUCGGAAUCAUUGGGCUUAAAGGGCGCGUAGGCGGCGGCGUAAGUUCGUGGUGAAAUCCCAUCGGCUCAACCGUGGAAUCGCUUCGAAUACUGCGUCGCUAGAGUGGGAUAGGGGACCGCAGAACUGCCGGUGGAGCGGUGAAAUGUGUUGAUAUCGGCGGGAAUGCCAGUGCCGAAAGGGGCGGUCUGGACCCUCACUGACGCUGAGGCGCGAAAGCUAGGGGAGCAAACGGG